rnacentral:rRNA from 1 species
CACCGCCCGUCACGUCAUGGAAGUGGAUGGUACCAGAAGCGAGUAGUUGAACCGAAAGGGUGACGCUUGCCACGGUAUGAUUCAUGACUGGGACG